ncrna:Drosophila pseudoobscura microRNA dps-mir-311 precursor
AUACCUUCAAGCUGGGGGAUGGGCAAUACUGUGUUGUAUUUCACCAGUAUUGCACACCCACUGGCCUGAAAGUGC